rnacentral:rRNA from 1 species
CCUACGGGAGACAGCAGUGGGGAAUAUUGCACAAUGGGGGAAACCCUGAUGCAGCGACGCCGCGUGAGUGAAGAAGUAUCUCGGUACGUAAAGCUCUAUCAGCAGGGAAGAAAAUGACGGUACCUGACUAAGAAGCCCCGGCUAACUACGUGCCAGCAGCCGCGGUAAUACGUAGGGGGCAAGCGUUAUCCGGAUUUACUGGGUGUAAAGGGAGCGUAGACGGCAGCGCAAGUCUGGAGUGAAAUCCCGGGGCUGAACCCCGGAACUGCUUUGGAAACUGGGCGGCUGGAGUGCAGGAGAGGUAAGCGGAAUUCCUAGUGUAGCGGUGAAAUGCGUAGAUAUCAGGAGGAACACCGGUGGCGAAGGCGGCUUACUGGACUGUAACUGACGUUGAGGCUCGAAAGCGUGGGGAGCAAACAGGAUUAGAUACCCCUGUAGUC